rnacentral:antisense_RNA from 1 species
UUCUAUGGGCGGCGGUGGUAGGGAGCCUUCGGGCUGCCGGUUUCCGUAUGCGCCGGUCUUCCAAACUUGCCAUUUGCGGCCCUCCCCG